UCAACCACUUUUUCUUGGAGAUUUGUAAAUAGAUCUUUCUUUGAUCUUACUCUAUCUAAAAACCAAAAGAAAAACCAUUUUUGUACUUUUCACCAUUUUUUAGAUUUGAUCCAAAGUCCAUCAAACAAUACUAAUAACCACUACAUCAAAUCUGAAUUCAUUCACUAUAAAAGGAGGCACCAUUGCAAUGAUCCAACACAAAAAAAAACAUCCAUCAUCAA
rnacentral:lncRNA from 1 species